UGGGUAACCUGCCUUAUAGUGGGGGAUAGCCUUUCGAAGGAAGAUUAAUACCGCAUAAGAUUGUAGUAUCGCAUGAUAUAGCAAUUAAAGGAGCAAUUCGCUAUAAGAUGGACCCGCGUCGCAUUAGCUAGUUGGUGAGGUAAUGCUCACCAAGGCGACGAUGCGUAGCCGACCUGAGAGGGUGAUCGGCCACAUUGGGACUGAGACACAGCCCAGACUCCUACGGGAGGCAGCAUG
rnacentral:rRNA from 1 species